AAUCCCACAGACAUGCGGCUGCUACACAUCUCUACCAGGUAUCAAGUAAGGCAUUCUAAGCAGCACUUCUAGGUAUAUUUGCUAUCUUACAGGCAGAGAAAUCAAAGCAAUUGAUAGGUAAACGUCAUGCAGUCUUUAGAUACCCUUCACAAUAAUUAAAACAUCGGUUAUCAGCAAUUGAGUGGAGUUCCCUUAUAAUCUACAGAAUAACUUAAAGCAUCCAGACACGCCUCAGUGCUACCACUCACGUUCUCUUACUGGCCACAUUGCAUAUAUUCAAAUUACCACAAGCUUCAUUCACCAAAUCUGCCUGGUGCCCUGCCCUACCAUACUCCCCCAAUCCUGUUUACACAUUAAAAAACUGACAACUGGUAAAGUAACUGAAAUUCAGGUGGGGGGGCUCACCUGCAAUGCCCGUUGCUCCCGGCUGAGCUGACUGGAAUCUGCAUACAGUUCGGUAGUGACACAUUUGAAUCGGUCACCCACGUAACCCGCUGAGUUGGCGAUUCUCUUUGCCAGCUUAGAUGGCUUCGGUUUCAGAACUUUGCCAUCAUUUGAUUCAGCCUCAUCAGCUCCAUCUUUGGUAUAGGUGGGGGUCACAUCCACACUUGGUGGGGCACUGCCCACACAAAAUGGUUUGGGAUCCUCUUGGGUUUUACCAAAAGUUACAGCAGGGCCAUCGCUCCCCAGAGGUGGCUCCAGGAAUGGAGUCGAGACUGGCAACCCUAGGUUCUCUUUGUUGGUACCUGCCAGAACACUGUCCUUGCUUACGGUGAAGACUGGCUGUUUGAAAGUAUAAGUUUCGUGGAAGUCACUGAUGCGCCCCAACUCCUCUCUCAGGGCGAUGAAAUCACGGUGCUGCUGCAGGGCCGGCUCAACUGAGGGCUUGGGGGGCUCAGCGCUCUGGCCAACACUCUCUGCUGCAAAGCUGGGUUUGGACACGUUUGUGUCAGUUUUAGCAUCUGGUUCUUCUCGGAGAAGGUCUACGUAGACAAGCUUGUCGCUUUUGACAACAGUCUUCCCUUGAUUCCAGUUGGGGUUCGGCUUUAGGUUCUUGUCGGUGGGGACAUCUGGAUGUAACUUGGUGCUGCUAGUUUCCAAAAUCUCGGAAAACCGAUUCCGGAGGGUUGGGUCCUCGUAACGGGCUCUCUCAUGGGACCGGGAUCUCCUCUCUGGUUUCUCCUCUUUAGUAAUCUCUAUGGGCGUGUGUGGUAUCAACAUGGGAUGCACCAUGCCCAACCCCAGGGCAUCUUGGUAGGUCACAAACUCUGGACGGCCGGUGGGAAGCCCAUAGGGCAGCCCAGGCUUUGGGGCAAGGUGCCCAGGAAACAGACUGCCAUUGGGUAACAAAACUGGGUGAGGGUAGACAGGUCCUUUGCCAUGUAAGGAGAGGGGACUUACAGCAAUGCCCUCAGGGGCUGGGUAAGGGAGGUAACUCCUGGGGUAGGGAAUUGGUGGGGACCUGAAUGCCUCAUUUGGAGACAGAAAUAUAGAGCUUGGUGGAAGGCCGUUCUCGUUUGCUUUGAAACUCGGUUCUGGGUUGCUGGCUUUGGCGCCCUUGCUGCUGGUGCUGCUACUGUGCUUGGCAGGAGUGGCCGGGGGCUGGAAGGCUGGUCGUGUCAUCAACCACUUCCGUGUUACCCAGGAGGGUAGGCUUUCAAAACUUUUUCCAAAACAAAGUUAGGGACCAUGUCCUACGAAACUGGUUUCCAUGGUGAUAAAAAAGCCAUAUUUGACUGCCUUUGUCAAAAUGACAGGGGGAUACACACUAGUAUCAUACAAAUGUCAGCUGUUCCAGGCUGAAAAGGAAGCUGCACAUCUGUGCCAGGCUGCUGCGGCUGCCCUGGGACUUGUUAUCAGAGAGCAUCGAUAAAGAAAGUGCUUGGUGCCAACUUCCAAAUCCCCAGGAUAAAAAUCGCUGACAAGCGGCAGAGGAAAAGUUUCCUCAUUACCCCGAAGAGCAGCUUCAAUCAUCUACUGCUUAGCUGCCUCCACCCCACAACUCCAAAAUUACUGAUUAGGAAGCAUAACAGAGCUGUCUGACGACCAAAAGCAGGCGCCAGUGGCCUCUGGGAACAGGCAGCAGAGGACAAUGAGAGAUCCUGGGCUUCAAUGAAGGAAAACGGUGGCUCUCUCCCCAUUUAUUACUGAGCAAACUAUUUGUUUUAAAAGCACAUAGAAUGCUGCUCCACCUGGGCCCACACUCCUGACAUUUAGAGUUAAAGCAGUAUAUAGACUGGGAUUAAUUCUCCUUCAUAAAUAUGAAAUAAUAAAUUAAGGACGAAAGUGCACUGAAAGGCCGCUUUAGGGGCUAAUCUUUUAAAGGGCGGCAAUGCUUCACUGAGCCAGGUUGCCUGUUAAAACUGUAAAUCAAGAGCGGCCUACUAGGCGGGAAGCUCUUUCUCUCCCACCCCUUUUGGGCCCACGGUGGCUGUGAGAAGUUGAGGGGGGCUUCAGCAUGGGCGUGGGCUCCACUCAGGCCCGGCCCAGAUGGGCGCAUUCACCUGUCUUCGCUCGCCCCACACAUGCGGACCCUCUCGCUGUUCAUCCAGCUGUGAACGUUCCCAUACAGGGGGGUUGCUGAGAGCAUGUCGUCUUCUGGGAUGGCAGCUUUGCUU
rnacentral:lncRNA from 10 species